rnacentral:rRNA from 1 species
GAUGAACGCUGGCGGCGUGCCUAAUACAUGCAAGUCGAGCGAACAGACGAGGAGCUUGCUCCUCUGACGUUAGCGGCGGACGGGUGAGUAACACGUGGAUAACCUACCUAUAAGACUGGGAUAACUUCGGGAAACCGGAGCUAAUACCGGAUAAUAUAUUGAACCGCAUGGUUCAAUAGUGAAAGACGGUUUUGCUGUCACUUAUAGAUGGAUCCGCGCCGCAUUAGCUAGUUGGUAAGGUAACGGCUUACCAAGGCAACGAUGCGUAGCCGACCUGAGAGGGUGAUCGGCCACACUGGAACUGAGACACGGUCCAGACUCCUACGGGAGGCAGCAGUAGGGAAUCUUCCGCAAUGGGCGAAAGCCUGACGGAGCAACGCCGCGUGAGUGAUGAAGGUCUUCGGAUCGUAAAACUCUGUUAUUGGGGAAGAACAGAUGUGUAAGUAACUAUGCACGUCUUGACGGUACCUAAUCAGAAAGCCACGGCUAACUACGUG